GAUGAACGCUGGCGGCGUGCCUAAUACAUGCAAGUCGAGCGAACAGACGAGGAGCUUGCUCCUCUGACGUUAGCGGCGGACGGGUGAGUAACACGUGGAUAACCUACCUAUAAGACUGGGAUAACUUCGGGAAACCGGAGCUAAUACCGGAUAAUAUAUUGAACCGCAUGGUUCAAUAGUGAAAGACGGUUUUGCUGUCACUUAUAGAUGGAUCCGCGCCGCAUUAGCUAGUUGGUAAGGUAACGGCUUACCAAGGCGACGAGGCGUAGCCGACCUGAGAGGGGGAUCGGCCACCCUGGAACUGAGACACGGUCCAGACUCCUACGGGAGGCAGCAGUAGGGAAUGGUCCGCAGCGGGCGAAAGCCUUACGGAGCGACGCCGCGUGAGUGACGAAGGUCUUCGGAGCGUAAAACUGUGUUAUUAGGGGAGAACAAAUGUGGAAGUAACUAUGCACGUCUUGACGGUACCUAAUCAGAAAGCCACGGCUAACUACGUG
rnacentral:rRNA from 1 species